GGAGGUCAGGGCAAUCUGGCUGUGGCAUUUGCCACGCCAUUGAUCACCAGGGUUCAUUCGGCUGAUCUGACUGGCUAAGUGGGUGUCGCCUUCCUCUUUCACCAUUCCGUGGGUGUCCCUCCUAAAGCCUCUGCUGGUCAAAGAGGAAACCGUCCCCAAGAGAGGAGGACUGUUCUUCCGUAAAGGGUACACAAGAAGCUGCGCUCCCCUGCUAGGAACUCUACACAAGCCUCAAAAGGUCCAGUUUAGGAGGACAGAGGGUAGGCCAAGCUUCCAAAGCUCCGGACACAUCCAAGUGAGUCUCUGCAUGUGGCAUGAAUUUAUAU
rnacentral:snRNA from 1 species